UGGGGAAUAUUGCACAAUGGGCGCAAGCCUGAUGCAGCCAUGCCGCGUGUGUGAAGAAGGCCUUCGGGUUGUAAAGCACUUUUGGCAGGAAAGAAACGUCGCGGGUUAAUACCCCGCGAAACUGACGGUACCUGCAGAAUAAGCACCGGCUAACUACGUGCCAGCAGCCGCGGUAAUACGUAGGGUGCAAGCGUUAAUCGGAAUUACUGGGCGUAAAGCGUGCGCAGGCGGUUCGGAAAGAAAGAUGUGAAAUCCCAGAGCUUAACUUUGGAACUGCAUUUUUAACUACCGGGCUAGAGUGUGUCAGAGGGAGGUGGAAUUCCGCGUGUAGCAGUGAAAUGCGUAGAUAUGCGGAGGAACACCGAUGGCGAAGGCAGCCUCCUGGGAUAACACUGACGCUCAUGCACGAAAGCGUGGGGAGCAAACAGGAUUAGAUACCCUGGUAGUCCACGCCCUAAAACGAUGUCAACUAGCUGUUGGGGCCUUCGGGCCUUGGUAGCGCAGCUAACGCGUGAAGUUGACCGCCUGGGGAGUACGGUCGCAAGAUUAAAACUCAAAGGAAUUGACGGGGUCAUAGCUGUUUCC
rnacentral:rRNA from 1 species